rnacentral:rRNA from 1 species
UUAAGCGACUAAGCGUACACGGUGGAUGCCCUGGCAGUCAGAGGCGAUGAAGGACGUGCUAAUCUGCGAUAAGCGUCGGUAAGGUGAUAUGAACCGUUAUAACCGGCGAUUUCCGAAUGGGGAAACCCAGUGUGUUUCGACACACUAUCAUUAACUGAAUCCAUAGGUUAAUGAGGCGAACCGGGGGAACUGAAACAUCUAAGUACCCCGAGGAAAAGAAAUCAACCGAGAUUCCCCCAGUAGCGGCGAGCGAACGGGGAGCAGCCCAGAGCCUGAAUCAGUGUGUGUGUUAGUGGAAGCGUCUGGAAAGGCGCGCGAUACAGGGUGACAGCCCCGUACACAAAAAUGCACAUAUUGUGAGCUCGAUGAGUAGGGCGGGACACGUGGUAUCCUGUCUGAAUAUGGGGGGACCAUCCUCCAAGGCUAAAUACUCCUGACUGACCGAUAGUGAACCAGUACCGUGAGGGAAAGGCGAAAAGAACCCCGGCGAGGGGAGUGAAAAAGAACCUGAAACCGUGUACGUACAAGCAGUGGGAGCACGCUUAGGCGUGUGACUGCGUACCUUUUGUAUAAUGGGUCAGCGACUUAUAUUCUGUAGCAAGGUUAACCGAAUAGGGGAGCCGAAGGGAAACCGAGUCUUAACUGGGCGUUAAGUUGCAGGGUAUAGACCCGAAACCCGGUGAUCUAGCCAUGGGCAGGUUGAAGGUUGGGUAACACUAACUGGAGGACCGAACCGACUAAUGUUGAAAAAUUAGCGGAUGACUUGUGGCUGGGGGUGAAAGGCCAAUCAAACCGGGAGAUAGCUGGUUCUCCCCGAAAGCUAUUUAGGUAGCGCCUCGUGAAUUCAUCUCCGGGGGUAGAGCACUGUUUCGGCAAGGGGGUCAUCCCGACUUACCAACCCGAUGCAAACUGCGAAUACCGGAGAAUGUUAUCACGGGAGACACACGGCGGGUGCUAACGUCCGUCGUGAAGAGGGAAACAACCCAGACCGCCAGCUAAGGUCCCAAAGUCAUGGUUAAGUGGGAAACGAUGUGGGAAGGCCCAGACAGCCAGGAUGUUGGCUUAGAAGCAGCCAUCAUUUAAAGAAAGCGUAAUAGCUCACUGGUCGAGUCGGCCUGCGCGGAAGAUGUAACGGGGCUAAACCAUGCACCGAAGCUGCGGCAGCGACGCUUAUGCGUUGUUGGGUAGGGGAGCGUUCUGUAAGCCUGCGAAGGUGUGCUGUGAGGCAUGCUGGAGGUAUCAGAAGUGCGAAUGCUGACAUAAGUAACGAUAAAGCGGGUGAAAAGCCCGCUCGCCGGAAGACCAAGGGUUCCUGUCCAACGUUAAUCGGGGCAGGGUGAGUCGACCCCUAAGGCGAGGCCGAAAGGCGUAGUCGAUGGGAAACAGGUUAAUAUUCCUGUACUUGGUGUUACUGCGAAGGGGGGACGGAGAAGGCUAUGUUGGCCGGGCGACGGUUGUCCCGGUUUAAGCGUGUAGGCUGGUUUUCCAGGCAAAUCCGGAAAAUCAAGGCUGAGGCGUGAUGACGAGGCACUACGGUGCUGAAGCAACAAAUGCCCUGCUUCCAGGAAAAGCCUCUAAGCAUCAGGUAACAUCAAAUCGUACCCCAAACCGACACAGGUGGUCAGGUAGAGAAUACCAAGGCGCUUGAGAGAACUCGGGUGAAGGAACUAGGCAAAAUGGUGCCGUAACUUCGGGAGAAGGCACGCUGAUAUGUAGGUGAAGUCCCUCGCGGAUGGAGCUGAAAUCAGUCGAAGAUACCAGCUGGCUGCAACUGUUUAUUAAAAACACAGCACUGUGCAAACACGAAAGUGGACGUAUACGGUGUGACGCCUGCCCGGUGCCGGAAGGUUAAUUGAUGGGGUUAGCCGCAAGGCGAAGCUCUUGAUCGAAGCCCCGGUAAACGGCGGCCGUAACUAUAACGGUCCUAAGGUAGCGAAAUUCCUUGUCGGGUAAGUUCCGACCUGCACGAAUGGCGUAAUGAUGGCCAGGCUGUCUCCACCCGAGACUCAGUGAAAUUGAACUCGCUGUGAAGAUGCAGUGUACCCGCGGCAAGACGGAAAGACCCCGUGAACCUUUACUAUAGCUUGACACUGAACAUUGAGCCUUGAUGUGUAGGAUAGGUGGGAGGCUUAGAAGUGUGGACGCCAGUCUGCAUGGAGCCGACCUUGAAAUACCACCCUUUAAUGUUUGAUGUUCUAACGUUGACCCGUAAUCCGGGUUGCGGACAGUGUCUGGUGGGUAGUUUGACUGGGGCGGUCUCCUCCUAAAGAGUAACGGAGGAGCACGAAGGUUGGCUAAUCCUGGUCGGACAUCAGGAGGUUAGUGCAAUGGCAUAAGCCAGCUUGACUGCGAGCGUGACGGCGCGAGCAGGUGCGAAAGCAGGUCAUAGUGAUCCGGUGGUUCUGAAUGGAAGGGCCAUCGCUCAACGGAUAAAAGGUACUCCGGGGAUAACAGGCUGAUACCGCCCAAGAGUUCAUAUCGACGGCGGUGUUUGGCACCUCGAUGUCGGCUCAUCACAUCCUGGGGCUGAAGUAGGUCCCAAGGGUAUGGCUGUUCGCCAUUUAAAGUGGUACGCGAGCUGGGUUUAGAACGUCGUGAGACAGUUCGGUCCCUAUCUGCCGUGGGCGCUGGAGAACUGAGGGGGGCUGCUCCUAGUACGAGAGGACCGGAGUGGACGCAUCACUGGUGUUCGGGUUGUCAUGCCAAUGGCACUGCCCGGUAGCUAAAUGCGGAAGAGAUAAGUGCUGAAAGCAUCUAAGCACGAAACUUGCCCCGAGAUGAGUUCUCCCUGACUCCUUGAGAGUCCUGAAGGAACGUUGAAGACGACGACGUUGAUAGGCCGGGUGUGUAAGCGCAGCGAUGCGUUGAGCUAACCGGUACUAAUGAACCGUGAGGCUUAACCU